AGUGAUAAACUGGGAGGAAGGAGUGGACGACGGUAGGUCCGUAUGCCCCGAAUCCCCUGGGCUACACGCGGGCUACAAUGGCUAUGACAAUGGGUAUCGACACCGAAAGGUGAAGGCAAUCUCCUAAAACCCAUCCGUAGUUCGGAUUGUGGGCUGCAACUCGCCCACAUGAAGCUGGAAUCUGUAGUAAUCGUGUCUCAAAAUGGCACGGUGAAUAUGUCCCUGCUCCUU
rnacentral:rRNA from 1 species